rnacentral:misc_RNA from 1 species
UCGCGCCGUCCUUCAUCUGGACCGAAACGUCGUCAUGCACGACAAACUGAAGAGCGCCCUUCGGGCCCUUCAUCUUGACGGUCUGCCCUUCGAUAUUCGCGGUGACGCCAGAGGCGAUCGCGACGGGCUUUUUGCCUACGCGUGANUCUUCCUUCCUUAGAACACCGUGAAGAGAACUUCGCCGCCCACGUUCGCGUCGCGCGCGUC